GUUAAACAAUACUAAAACUAAUUUCUCAAAUGCUUCAAGUUGAAACGAUUUCUCAAAUACUUCAACUCAACCCUAACCUAACAAACGUUUGGAGUUUUCUCGAACAAAGCCUUCGUAACAGAGAAAUUGCAAAAUCGGUCGAGCAUCGGUCACGUUUGGAGUUGAUGAAGCCUUCACCCGUUCCACCAGGACCAAUCUUAUUCACAAUGAUCUGAACUCUCACAAUCGCAACCACAGAACGAAUCUCCGAACCCUAGCUUGUACCUUUUUCCCCUUUCAACUCAAUUAUAAGAAGGAAAUGGGAUUCUCUUAUUUCUUGGUUGAUGUUGCUGUUACAGAGUUGAAAAUGGAGUCGAGGUGCUAUACGAUUGUGUUGUGUCUACCUCUACGUCAAUCCGGUGACGUAAAAUUUGGCUACUUUGAUCCGGUGAAUUUUUCGAUCUAUGUGAAAAGUGCGGGUGAAUCGCUGCUAAUUUGAGCCUUUAACUCCGGGAGAAAUCAAGCCUGGUCCAUAUAUUUUCUUUCUUGGUAAGAAUUUUGAAUUCUCGUGUGACAAUUUCCAUUUCAUCUUGACUGGUUUUAUUGAUUGGUUAAUAAUACACAUCAUUAGAAAGCAACACCAAAAUUACAAAGGGGUCACUGGCUUGUAUUUGCAUUGUUGACAUAUACUGCCAUUCACUCCAUGUUUGAUGUUAUGUCAUCAUUAGUCAGGAUUUUGUCAUAUUCUCAAACUGACUCCAGGUUAGCCCAUUUUCACUACUAAAACUAAGGAUUGGCCUAUGGGUGAGGCACAUAAAAACAAUCAUUUGCUAUUAACUCUGAAAAAGAUAAAAAAAAAAACCACACCUGUUGGAAAAAGAUCUAAAGCUAAAACACAUUGGUAUUUAUAAAACAAAAUUGACACAAAUGCUGUCGAAAAGACACACUCGUCCAUAACUUGUUUUAUUAGCCUCACUCACUCUUGGGUCAGCUCUAAAAGAUUCAUUUCUUAAUGAGCUAUUGAAGUAGAAUUACCAGGCUGCGUAAAAGAUCCAAACUCAAAGGUAUUAUUGCAAUCGAAAAGCAUCUUCAUAAUUUAUUGGAUUAUGGUUUUGGUCAGUCAUUUGUAUAUAUCCAUGCUCCAAAACACCGUUUGACAAUGAUAUACAUGCAACAUUUGUAAACCAUAUUUUUGUCCAGGUCUCACUUUCUCCCACUCAAAGGCGACAAGCUUGAAGUAGCUACUAGACGAGCUUCGUUCCCCGUUUUUCCGCUUUUUAAU